rnacentral:rRNA from 1 species
GUCCUUCGGGACUGGGGACAGCGGCGAACGGGUGAGUAACACGUGGGUAAUUUACCCUCGAUUCUGGGAUAGCCCGGGGAAACCCGGAUUAAUACCGGAUAGCCUCCGAAGCCUUCGGGCGUCGGAGAAAAGGUAGCUUCGGCCUCUAGCCGAGGAUGAGCUCGCGGCGGAUUAGCUUGUUGGCGGGGUAAUGGCCCACCAAGGCGACGAUCCGUAGCUGGUCUGAGAGGACGAUCAGCCACACUGGGACUGAGACACGGCCCAGACUCCUACGGGAGGCAGCAGUGGGGAAUUUUCCGCAAUGGGCGAAAGCCUGACGGAGUGACGCCGCGUGGGGGACGAAGGCCUUCGGGUCGUAAACCCCUGUCAGAGGGAAAGAAGGGUCGCGCGGUGAAUAGCCGCGUGAUUUGACGGUACCUUCAGAGGAAGCCCCGGCCAACUCUGUGCCAGCAGCCGCGGUAAGACAGAGGGGGCAAGCGUUGCUCGGAAUCACUGGGCGUAAAGGGCGCGUAGGCGGGAUGGCAAGUCGGUCGUGAAAUCCCUCGGCUCAACCGAGGAGCGUCGGCCGAUACUGCCGUUCUUGAGGGAUGCAGAGGAGACUGGAAUUCCCGGUGUAGCGGUGAAAUGUGUAGAGAUCGGGAGGAACACCGGUGGCGAAGGCGGGUCUCUGGGCAUCUCCUG